rnacentral:rRNA from 1 species
UAUAAACCAGGUAUAGAUACCCUAUUAUAAAAAUUUAAAUUAAUUUACUAAAAAAUUAAUAGUUAUGUUCUUUAAAUUUAAAAAAUUGGGCGGUAUUUUAGUCUUAUUAGAGGAACCUGUUUUUUAAUUGAUAAUCCACGAUUAAUUUUACUUAUUUUAAAUAAUUCAUAUAUCGCUGUCAUGAAUAUAUUGAAAAAUUUAUUUUCUUUAUUUAUUUUUAUAAUUUAUGUUAAGUCAAGAUGUGGUUUAUAAAUAAGUGUAUAAUGGGUUACAUUAAAUUUUAUUUAUGGAUUUUAAAUGAAAAUUAUAAUGAAAUUGGAUUUAAUAGUAAGUUUAAUUAUUUAA